CCCUUAGAUGUUCUGGGCCGCACGCGCGCUACACUGAUGCAUUCAACGAGCCUAUCCUUGACCGACAGGUCCGGGUAAUCUUUGAAUCUGCAUCGUGACGGGGAUAGAUUAUUGCAAUUAUUAAUCUUCAACGAGGAAUGCCUUGUAGGCGCAAGUCAUCAGCUUGCGUCGAUUACGUCCCUGCCCUUUGUACACACCGCCCGUCGCUCCUACCGAUUGAGUGGUCCGGUGAGGCUUUGGGAUCUGAGCGGAAAGAGCGUUUCGCUGUUUCUGCUCGGAAAACUCAGUCGAACCUUAUCAUUUAGAGGAAGGAGAAGUCGUAACA
rnacentral:rRNA from 1 species